UGGGGAAUUUUGGACAAUGGGCGAAAGCCUGAUCCAGCAAUGCCGCGUGUGUGAAGAAGGCCUUCGGGUUGUAAGGCACUUUUGUCCGGAAAGAAAUCCUUGGCUCUAAUACAGUCGGGGGAUGACGGUACCGGAAGAAUAAGCACCGGCUAACUACGUGCCAGCAGCCGCGGUAAUACGUAGGGUGCAAGCGUUAAUCGGAAUUACUGGGCGUAAAGCGUGCGCAGGCGGUUUGCUAAGACCGAUGUGAAAUCCCCGGGCUCAACCUGGGAACUGCAUUGGUGACUGGCAGGCUAGAGUAUGGCAGAGGGGGGUAGAAUUCCACGUGUAGCAGUGAAAUGCGUAGAGAUGUGGAGGAAUACCGAUGGCGAAGGCAGCCCCCUGGGCCAAUACUGACGCUCAUGCACGAAAGCGUGGGGAGCAAACAGGAUUAGAUACCCUGGUAGUCCACGCCCUAAACGAUGUCAACUAGUUGUUGGGGAUUCAUUUCCUUAGUAACGUAGCUAACGCGUGAAGUUGACCGCCUGGGGAGUACGGUCGCAAGAUUAAAACUUAAAUGAAUUGACGGGGUCAUAGCU
rnacentral:rRNA from 1 species